AACGCACCUUGCGCUCCUCGGUGUUCCGAGGAGCAUGCCUGUUUGAGUGUCAGUAAAUUCUCAACCCCUCUUGAUUUCUUUCGAGGGGGAGCUUGGAUUGUGGGGGCUGCCGGAGACUAGGACUCGUCCUUGACUCGGGCUCUCCUUAAAUGCAUCGGCUUGCGGUCGACUUUCGACUUUGCGCGACAAGGCUUUCGGCGUGAUAAUGAUCGCCGUUCGCUGAAGCGCAUGAAUGAACGUUCCGUGCCUCUAAUCCGUCGACUUAGUAUCUCUUCGGAGAGAAAACGUCUUCUUCAUUGACUUUUGACCUCAAAUCAGGUAGGACUACCCGCUGAACUUAA
rnacentral:misc_RNA from 1 species